rnacentral:rRNA from 1 species
AUGACACUUGCUCGCCGUCUUCCAUUGAAUUUAGUGGAUAACCUCCUUGUGAUGGCGGCGAAUUUAAUAUUUGGAGACCUAUCAAGGUAUCACAUUAGAAGGCCAAAAAUGGGUCCAAUGAUCCUCAAGUCAGAAACCGGCCGAUCCGCUGUUAUUGAUGUUGGCACUGUUGGGUUAAUCAAAAAAGGUAUCAUCAAAAUACAAGGGAGCAUUAGUAAGAUCAUGAGCUAUAUAGUUGAAUUUUGGUGCAGUAAAAAAAUAUCAUUUGACGCGAUUGUGUUUGCAACUGGAUACAAAAGCACAACAAAUAUAUGGCUCAAGAAUGGUGAGAACAUGUUAAAUGGCAAUGGACUGCCCAUCAAAGAAUAUCCGAGUCAUUGGAAAGGUGAAAAUGGGGUCUACUGUGCUGGGUUAGGAAGGAGAGGAUUGGCUGGUAUUGCAGCAGAUGCCAAGAAUAUCGCCAAUGACAUCAAAUCAAUGAUAGGCGUUAUGUCCAGCUAA